rnacentral:lncRNA from 1 species
GGGCGGGAAGGCGGCGGCCGGAUGCGGGCCGGGCGGGAAGGCGGCGGUCGGAUGCGGGCCGGGCGGGAAGGCGGCGGCCGGAUGCGGGCCGGGCGGGAAGGCGGCGGCCGGAUGCGGGCCGGGCGGGAAGGCGGCCGCUGACGUGCGCUGUGAGCCCCGAGACCCGGAAGAGGCUCCUGGCCCGACGGCCUGGCCUCGGCACCCACAGGCUGCCACGUUUUGACAGAGACGGCCCCAAAGGCCGGGCUGCGGCCAGGUGGAUUCCUCAUGGUCAAGGGAAGGUCAACCUCGGGUGGAGAAUCCCCAGGGCCCUGGCAUCUCUGCCCUUUGAUAUGGAGCUAAGGGAACUCUGUAGGAGGCGGCAGUUUGGACCCAGCUGCUGCACAGGGUCCAGCCAACCAGACCAGACCGGAGGUCUCACACCACUGAGGAGGAGCCAGGAUCUUUAUGUGACUGCCAGAGACAUCAGGAGAAAGCCCACAGAAGCCGAAUCUCCAAACAGGCUGGUCCUAGCUGGCAUGAAAGACUGUCUUUCCAUUGCUGCCUUGAAGAAGCGAGUUGCCUCAUCAUGAGAGGUCUCUGGAGGGGCCAGUGGCAAGGACCUGCAGGGGACCUGUAUUUGCCAGCUGAGAGGAGCCCCCAGCUGACAUCCACAACAGAGCAGACCCUCAGUCCUCCAACUACAAGGAUAUGAAUUCAGCCAACAACAGGAAGGAGCUUGGAAGCAGACCUUUCCCUUCCCCGGUUCAGCAUCUGAUGAGCCCACAGCCUUGGCCAACCCUGAGCACAGGACACAGCUAAGAUGAACUCGACUUUUGACCUACAGAAAUUGAAAUAAUAGAAGUGUUAUGUUGAGUUUCAAAGUUUUUGGUAAUGUGUUAUGCAGCAAUAAAAAUCUAGUAUGUCCAAAAAAA